GGGGGUAUAAUUCAGCGGCAGAGCAUUGGAAUGCAGAUCGAGAAGUCCCUGGUUAAAAUCUGGGUGCCUCCU